AACCACGAGCUGAGAGUUUUUACACAACAGUCGGACUCGGAACCGAGGAGUCCCAUUGUCAGGAGUGUAACGUGCCAGAAAAUAGUUUGCAUAGUGUUGUUAUUUAUUCUCAGGAUCGUAACCAUACUAUUUAGCUCAACAUAUCUCUCACAGGAAGUAGCUAGAUAUUUGGAAGAAAGCAGCUUUGAGCAAAUACCCGGAGUAAACCUGACUGCACAGCAAUGAGUGACCCUGAGCCAGCAACAUUUGCAUCUGUUGAACAAGAGAGGGACUACUGGAAGGAACAGGCUGCCAAAUACCAGCAAAGGGCCGAGGAGGCGCAGGAGGAGCUGCAGGAGUUUCAGCAGAUGAGUCGAGACUAUGAGGCGGAGCUGGAGACAGAGCUGAAGCAGUGUGAUGGCCGUUAUCGCGAGCUUGUUACGGCCAACAACAGACUCCGGAUGGAAUUAGAAAACU